GGAAGUAAAAGUCGUAACAAGGUUUCCGUAGGUGAACCUGCGGAAGGAUCAUUAACGCGCAGGCCGCAGACGACCCUCCCCCGGGCUCUUCCGGGGGAGGUGGCGCCGGCCACACGCCCAUUCUUGUCUAUCUACCUGGUUGCCUCGGCGGACCGCGCCCCUCGUGCCGCGUCUCGAGGAGCCGUUCGGGGGGGAGGAACCCCCUGGACCGCGUCCGCCGGAGGAGCGAUUAAAACCCAUGAAUACGGUUCAGUCUGAGCGUUAGCAAGUAAAAUCAGUUAAAACUUUCAACAACGGAUCUCUUGGUUCCGGCAUCGAUGAAGAACGCAGCGAAAUGCGAUAAGUAAUGUGAAUUGCAGAAUUCCGUGAAUCAUCGAAUCUUUGAACGCACAUUGCGCCCUCUGGUAUUCCGGGGGGCAUGCCUGUUCGAGCGUCAUUUCAACCCCUCAAGCCCGGCUUGCGUGAUGGACGACCGUCCCGACCCUCCCCGCCUCGGGGAGGGGGGACGCGCCCGAAAAGCAGUGGCCAGGCCGCGAUUCCGGCUCCUGGGCGAAUGGGCAACAAACCAGCGCCUCUAGGACCCGGCCGGCUCUCUGGCCUAGUUUUGGUCAAGGACUCGUUCCUUCACAAUCAGGUUGACCUCGGAUCAGGUAGGGAUACCCGCUGAACUUAAGCAUAUCAAUAAGCGGAGG
rnacentral:rRNA from 1 species